GAUGAACGCUGGCGGCGUGCCUAAUACAUGCAAGUCGAGCGAACGGACGAGAAGCUUGCUUCUCUGGUGUUAGCGGCGGACGGGUGAGUAACACGUGGAUAACCUACCUAUAAGACUGGGAUAACUUCGGGAAACCGGAGCUAAUACCGGAUAAUAUUUUGAACCGCAUGGUUCAAAAGUGAAAGACGGUCUUGCUGUCACUUAUAGAUGGAUCCGCGCUGCAUUAGCUAGUUGGUAAGGUAACGGCUUACCAAGGCAACGAUGCAUAGCCGACCUGAGAGAGUGGUCGGCCACACUGGAACGGAGACACGGUCCAGACUCCUACGGGAGGCAGCAGUAGGGAAUCUUCCGCAAUGGGCGAAAGCCUGACGGAGCAACGCCGCGUGAGUGAUGAAGGUCUUCGGAGCGUAAAACUCGGUUAUUAGGGAAGAACAUAUGUGUAAGUAACUGUGCACAGCUUGACGGUACCUAAUCAGAAAGCCACGGCUAACUACGUG
rnacentral:rRNA from 1 species